GCGCCCGUAGCUCAGCGGAUAGAGCGUUGGCCUGCGGAGCCAAAGGUCGGAGGUUCAAGUCCUCUCGGGCGCGCCA
rnacentral:tRNA from 2 species